rnacentral:lncRNA from 1 species
UCGGAGGUGGCUUUCUUGGCGUCUGGUUAUCGGAGAAGGAUGGUAGACCAUGGGGAACGGCGAGUCUUGGCUGAGUUAGAGCGAGUUGGGGCUGGGUUAAUUGGGUUGUUGUCUGCGAUUGCUUGCUGAUUUACGGGUCGAGGCGAGGAUUGUGGGUCGAUGAUUUGGAACGACGGUGAGGUGUAGUCGGACGGCUGAUUUUCAGAUUAUUCGCGAGAAAUUAGGAGAAAGAGAAGAAGAAGAGGGAAGAAUAGCGGUUAGGAUUUACUUACUGUUGCGAACAUGAAGUGCAGAGAGAGAUGAUCGAAAGUGUGAGGGGAGGAGAUGAGAAAAUGGAGAGAGCUAAGGAACAGGGGCAGUAUAUUGUGAGGGAUUUUGACUCUCUAUUUUUAAUUGAUAAUAAUGGAAUAUAAUUGAUCUGGAUCAUGAUAUAGUGCAUGAAAUAUAGUUGGGCUUGAUGAUUAGUAUUGGGCAUUAAUCAUUUAUCUCUUGUCGCCUUGAGCU